rnacentral:rRNA from 1 species
AAUCAACGCUGGCGGCGUGCCUCAGACAUGCAAGUCGAACGAUUAAAGCUCUCUUCGGAGAGUGUAUAGAGUGGCGCACGGGUGAGUAACACGUAAGUAAUCUACCCUCGAGUGGGGAAUAACAACCGGAAACGGUUGCUAAUACCGCAUAAUGCAGCGGCACCGCAAGGUGACAGUUGUUAAAGAUUUAUCGCUUGAGGAGGAGCUUGCGGCAGAUUAGCUAGUUGGUAGGGUAACGGCUUACCAAGGCUACGAUCUGUAACCGGUCUAAGAGGACGGUCGGUCACACUGACACUGAAUAACGGGUCAGACUCCUACGGGAGGCAGCAGUCGGGAAUUUUGGGCAAUGGGCGAAAGCCUGACCCAGCAACGCCGCGUGAAGGAUGAAGUAUUUCGGUAUGUAAACUUCGAAAGAAUAGGAAGAAUUAAUGACGGUACUAUUUAUAAGGUCCGGCUAACUACGUGCCAGCAGCCGCGGUAAAGU